rnacentral:rRNA from 1 species
GGCUCAGGAUGAACGCUGGCGGCGUGCCUAACACAUGCAAGUCGAACGGGGUUUAUAAUAUGAAGUUUCGGACGGAAUAUUGUAAACCUAGUGGCGGACGGGUGAGUAACGCGUGGGCAACCUGCCCCAUACAGGGGGAUAACAGCCGGAAACGGCUGCUAAAACCGCAUGAAACUGCGCUGCCGCAUGGCGGUGCAGCCAAAUAUUUAUAGGUAUGGGAUGGGCCCGCGUCUGAUUAGCUAGUUGGUAAGGUAACGGCCUACCAAGGCGACGAUCAGUAGCCGGCUUGAGAGAGUGACCGGCCACAUUGGGACUGAGACACGGCCCAAACUCCUACGGGAGGCAGCAGUAGGGAAUCUUCCGCAAUGGACGAAAGUCUGACGGAGCAACGCCGCGUGAGUGAAGAAGGUUUUUUCCGGAUCGUAAAACUCUGUUGUCAGAGAAGAACAAGUUGGAGAGUAACUGCUCCAGCCUUGACGGUAUCUGACCAGAAAGCCACGGCUAACUACGUGCCAGCAGCAGC